CCCAGACUCCUACGGGAGGCAGCAGUGAGGAAUAUUGGUCAAUGGUCGGGAGACUGAACCAGCCAAGCCGCGUGAGGGAGGAAGGUACAGAGUAUCGUAAACCUCUUUUGUCAGGGAACAAAGGCGGGGACGGGUCCCCGGAUGAGGGUAACUGAAGAAAAAGCAUCGGCUAACUCCGUGCCAGCAGCCGCGGUAAUACGGAGGAUGCGAGCGUUAUCCGGAUUUAUUGGGUUUAAAGGGUUCGUAGGCGGGCUUUUAAGUCAGCGGUAAAAAUUCGGGGCUCAACCCCGUCCGGCCGUUGAAACUGGGGGCCUUGAGUGGGCGAGAAGAAGGCGGAAUGCGUGGUGUAGCGGUGAAAUGCAUAGAUAUCACGCAGAACUCCGAUUGCGAAGGCAGCGUACCGGCGCCCAACUGACGCUGAAGCACGAAAGCGUGGGUAUCGAACAGGAUUAGAUACCCCGGUA
rnacentral:rRNA from 1 species